rnacentral:rRNA from 1 species
GGAGCUUGCUCCUCUGACGUUAGCGGCGGACGGGUGAGUAACACGUGGAUAACCUACCUAUAAGACUGGGAUAACUUCGGGAAACCGGAGCUAAUACCGGAUAAUAUAUUGAACCGCAUGGUUCAAUAGUGAAAGACGGUUUUGCUGUCACUUAUAGAUGGAUCCGCGCCGCAUUAGCUAGUUGGUAAGGUAACGGCUUACCAAGGCAACGAUGCGUAGCCGACCUGAGAGGGUGAUCGGCCACACUGGAACUGAGACACGGUCCAGACUCCUACGGGAGGCAGCAGUAGGGAAUCUUCCGCAAUGGGCGAAAGCCUGACGGAGCAACGCCGCGUGAGUGAUGAAGGUCUUCGGAUCGUAAAACUCUGUUAUUAGGGAAGAACAAAUGUGUAAGUAACUAUGCACGUCUUGACGGUACCUAAUCAGAAAGCCACGGCUAACUACGUGCCAGCAGCCGCGGUAAUACGUAGGUGGCAAGCGUUAUCCGGAAUUAUUGGGCGUAAAGCGCGCGUAGGUGGUUUUUUAAGUCUGAUGUGAAAGCCCACGGCUCAACCGUGGAGGGUCAUUGGAAACUGGAAAACUUGAGUGCAGAAGAGGAAAGUGGAAUUCCAUGUGUAGCGGUGAAAUGCGCAGAGAUAUGGAGGAACACCAGUGGCGAAGGCGACUUUCUGGUCUGUAACUGACGCUGAUGUGCGAAAGCGUGGGGAUCAAACAGGAUUAGAUACCCUGGUAGUCCACGCCGUAAACGAUGAGUGCUAAGUGUUA